CUGUAGGCAGUCUUUCUACUAGCUAAUGCUCCAGACAGUUGACUCUGCUUCAGAGAAGGGCGAGUGCAUCCCACUGCUAUUCCAGAAUGACCGAGUUGCAUGUUCUGCCAGAAGGCAGGAGAAAAUCUUAAAUACAUUGUCACGUGCAGUGCCGGAUUUACGUAUAAGGUAAACAAGCUAUAACUUAGGGCCCCGCUCUCUUGGGGGCCCCAAAAAACUUAAAGGAAAAAACAAGAACUGGAUGUACAUUUCCCAAAAUAAAAUAAGAUAAAAUAAAAUAAAUAAAAUAAAAUAAAAUAAAACCUACAUAUAGCAAGUGUUUUGUGUUGUGUAGGCUCCUAUUAUGUAAGUCAUGGGCCGCGCCUGCUAGCCUGCUCCCUAAAAUAUCAUUGGUUUGCUCAUUUCUGUAUAUAGGGUGCCUACAUUCUUCAUGUGCAAAUGGCUUUAGAUACCUAUUAGGUCCAUAAAUUACCAUAUAGCAUAUAUUCAACACAAAAAACAGUGACAAAGGACAGCUGGACAUAAAGGGCCCCAUUACCUUUAGUAGCUUAGGGCCUCAUCAGACCUAAAUCCGGCCGUAGUCACGUGCAAAUGGUGAUGUGAAAGUUGCACACUCAGGUUUGGGGGGCACUCACUUUAGAGCUGGAUAGUGGUGAUACACAUUCAACAAGGUUGGGUUGAAUGCAGUAUCUAUGGGGGCUAAUUGAGACAGGCCUCUUGUGCCUCUGACAGUUGUGCAGGAGGCAAUUUCAGCCGGCAUGGCUUAGAAAUCCCUUCAUGUACAUGACUAUGAAAAGGUGCAGGACCCCAAACUUCUUCAGCAUACUAGAAAACUGUGUUUGAGAGGUGGGAACAGAAACCACCAAAACUGACAAGCAUGGAGCACUGGUUAAUUUGAGGAAGGGGUUAUACCUCUGCUGAGGUGGAGGCAGAAUUGUGGCAGAGUUGCACAUCAAGACGUUCAAACUUUGCCUCAUAUCGGCUUUACACAUAUAGCAGCAUUCAGGAGUGGCUGAACCACUUCAAAUUUUAGGGGUGGUGGUGGCGGCAGGAAUACUGUUUUUAAAGCUAGCUGAAGGGGGUUGGGAAUCCCUGCAAGUAAAAAGCAGCCAGUAUUAGCGGGGAGAAUAGUUCCAGCCCUAGUCUGCUCCUUGCCAUUCAUGUUUUCCAUGUGCACAGUAGUGUUUUGUUUUUCACUACAGGUGAGUAUUCACCCACAGACUGAAAUGGAAGACUCCAUUGUGCCAUCUCAGAAUUCCAGUACCUCAAGAUACUGUGGAGCAGGCCUUGUGAGGGCAGGUUGAAAUUGUUGUUAUUCCAACAUGGAGGUCGUGUCUCCUUAGCAACGCAACUGUGAAAGAGGAAGGCAACUGGGACUUCUCCUGACCUUCUCUUCUCCUGGUCCUCCCACCCCCCCAGUACCCUAGUUCACUGUGGAGCAAAAAAUAAAAAAUAAAUGAGUUUAUUCCAGAAGGGGCAGCACAGCAACAGGGAUGUUAGACGAGCGGGAUGAGAUGCAACCUGAUUGUCCCACCAUGAGGGAGUUGUGGAGCCAUGCUUGACGCAAUGUUUCUUCUUUAUUAUCAUUUUACACAAGGGGUGAGAAAGCUUUCACAGCAAAAAGCAGAUGGGGCAAAGCAUGGGACUUGGCACAUGACCUUGUUCCUUCUAUUCUGUGCUAUUUCCCCCUUUAUUUCUGAUGCAUAGAGAGAGAAUGCUGCUGUCCUGUAUUUUUUCUUUCCGGCACCUAUGGCUGAAUGUUAUAAGAUUUGCAGAUGAG
rnacentral:lncRNA from 1 species